rnacentral:hammerhead_ribozyme from 1 species
CAAUUCUGAAGAGUCCUAGAACAGAACGAAAUGGCCAUCCAGUGC